rnacentral:sRNA from 1 species
GCCAACUGCACGCGUGCCAUUCCCAUCUCCUCGGCCGCCACGAGCUUUCCCACCCUUUCCACGUCCUUGAUUUUCCUCGCCUUGCUUGGCCGUCGGCCCAGCCCCACCCUGCUUAUCCUCUCCUCGGCCACCUUGCGCAGCCUGGCCACCCCCUCUGCCUCUCCCUCCGCCUCCGCCGCCUCUUGCUUUCCCGCCGCGUCCACCCCGCCCUCGACCUCUUCCACUCUGGCCCUGCAUCUGACCUUGCUGAUUGCCCACAGCUCCCUGACCUUCUUGACUUUGCCUAGACUCCUUUGCGAUCCUCGCUUCCUCCUCGUGCCACCACCUCAUGAAUUCUUCCUCCUGCACUCUUGCCCGCUCUGCUUCCUGCUCUUCCUCUUGAAUUUCCCUCAGACUCUUCGCAGGCUUCCGCGCAAGCGCCUCAGUGGCUUCCCGCUCCUGCUCCUGGAUCGCCAAUAAAGAUAAACCUUGUGCGACGGGCGAGACGCUGAUCGGUGGAGGGGGGAUGAACGUGCUUGGAGUGGACCACGCCGCGGUUGGGGUACUGCUCUUGCGCGGUUGUGCGGCAGGCGCUUGGAGUUUGACAGGGGUAAUCACCUUGGCCGAGCCGGAACGUUGAGGGGCGGGAGAAGCCUGAGAGCCUGCACUUCUGCUCAACGUGCUUGCGUUCCCUGGAGAUCCCGUUCCGAGACCGGUAGCCGUAUGCUGGCGACCUUGCAAAGCAGUAAAUGACGUCUUUCUUACUUCAGUCGUCCUCCACGGACCGCCGCCCGUAGAAGGACCAGUCGAUGGAGGACUGCGUGCCAGAAUACCCUUGGAAGGUGCAGCAGCUCCAGACGCCGGUAACAGGAAUCCACUUCGCGUCGCUGACCCAUUUCCGAGAGCAGAAGCAACCACAGGCAUGGAUAUAGGCUUCGCAGGCGUCUUGGCAGCCGCAGUCUCCGCCAUGAUACUCCGCAAAUCAGCCUUACCAGUCUCCACAGUCUUUGAUUUCCAUAUCGGUGUCUUGACCGGUGUAGACGAGCCAGACGUGGAACCAGGUUGGAAAGGUGCAGCACCGAGACUAAAUGGCGUCAUUGACCUCGAGCCCUUAUUCGGUGUCCGUACUCCCGAUGCACUGGUUGUUGGCGUCGGCACAUCAUCGUCCAUCUGGAAGAUACCAUCCGCAGCCGAUGAUUUGUCAGAGACUUCAGCACUGGGAUUGACGAUUGGUGAAGGUGGCGCUUUACGUCUAGCUGCCAUCGUCUUGGCCGAAGAAAGGUCGACAGGCGAUAGCGCUGACCUCGCCGCCCUAUACUUGAACGGCUGUCGCACAAUCGGCGCCGGGAUGUCUUGGACCAACAGCCACUCUCGGUGUUUUGCCAUCAACUCCUUCACGAGUACCCCUUCUCUCGCCACAGGGGAUCGUUUCUUCUGCUUCUCAGCAAUAACAUUCGACAGAUCCUGCAGAACGCUCUGGUCCAUUUCAUCUAACAAGCCGCUCUCAAGCAUAGUUUCGAGGCAUGAGAUGAUAUAGUCAAAGACGGAAAGUUUAAGCGUGUUGGCUUGAUAAAAAGAUGCUUCAGAAGCAAGAGCAGCGGCGUUGAAGGCAUUGCAGUGGCGGAUAAUAGCCCGGGAGCAGACAAGGACGAGACGGUCAAGAAGAAGCUCCGUCUAUUAAACUCCAAAAACUCAUCCAAUGUAUCUUGAUCUAAUCCCGUUCUUGUCAGUUGAGCCCCAAAAGAAUCACUGACACUCAACUUACGAAGAUAAUCAAACAAGUCAUCCUCCACUCCUUCAUACAUCCACCUGAACACCAGCUUCAUCGGCGUCCAUUUCAAGUGAGUCAUUCUGACCACCACUGCCCCUUCACCCUUUCUGUUCAACGUCCAAUCUCGGUCUUCAAACAUUGCCUCGAAGAAUGGACACCUGGCCCUCAAGAUCACAGAAUUACAAGAAACCUGUCUGUCUGAUAAAAGUAUCGUGACAUCGCAUGGUGAUUCAGGCCCCGCUGGGAUCGUAUAAGUCGUGUUGAAGAAAGCCUGCAUAUCUGAGGAGAGAGUAUGAUGGGGCAGAGGUUGCUUGGCGGCAUAGGAGAGGACAGAGGAUAGAGGCGAAAGGUCAAGUUCUUCGGCAAGGGCUUUGAGAUCAGACUUGAUGUCUCCUAGAGGGAUUUUUUCCGCGGGGUACUUGUCUUGAAUGAUGCGCGCUACACGAGCAUCCCAGAUGGUGGCCACAUCAUCAGAAUAAAGAUACUGUAUGAGUAGUAAACCAACGAGGGGGUGGCACGCUUCCACUUUGAUGGCAGGGGACGUGCCAUACGAUCCCAAAGAGAGUACAUUGCUCGUGUACUCCCCUGCAAGCAAUUGAGCAAUUUUCACAGCCCUCAUAGAGAGAAUGGCGCUGUGUACUGGGAUAGCCAAACCCUGGAUGAUCAGAUGACAAUCACUGCUUAGUAGCGGGUCACUCCAAGCGAACAAAGAAUCUCCCUCGCCUGUUCUCCACCUUGACAAAAUAGUACACAUUUUAAGAGCGAUGGAUGUAUCUUUUGCAACAGAGUUGGUGCUCUCAUCAUCUUCCUCAUCCUCAUCAGUCUUCUUACUGUUCGCGUUCAAUUUUUCAAAAUCUUCUGCCGUCAUCUGAUGCUCGAAUCGGUGGAAAUGAGGCUGCAGUAAGAACAAGUCUUCCUCAAGCGUCUUCCCAACCAGUUUGAUAGGCGUUGGCCUAGCGUCAACCCGGAUAGCACCAAACGCCCCGGAUUCGUUGGUGGCGACUUUGAUGACUCGUUGCAGAUAGGGAAUACGACGGAAUUUGAGUUGACCAGAGCCCGAUUUUAAACGUUGGCGCACAAAAACGUGACCUGAAUGGGUGCAGACAAUGACUGUGCCGUCAGACCCUAUAGCGACAUCCUAUAAACAGACGUAUAAUUUAGCUUUUACAUGUAUUGAGCAAAGUAGAGGUAUGGAGACACACCUUGAC